rnacentral:lncRNA from 1 species
UCCAUGUCACCAACACCUUCCAUUCUAUAAGAAGCUGAUUUUGAUGCAAGUUCCCUCAGAUUUGAUAUACUUCUUCCCAACUGCAAAGCCAUCUUCAUUUCAAACAACUCUCCAUUUUCUCUUUUCUGUAAAUCUUUCUCUCCCAAAGUUGAUUCAAUUGAGGUUUCUAACAACUUGAAGAAGCCACCAGAAGCUCUGUACAUUUCAAAAACCAUGCCAACUUGUCCACCAUGCUCAAAGGUAUUAACUGCAGAAGCCAACGAACCAGCCAAGAGUGGAACAAAAGCAGCCACAAAACUACCAUUACCUAUAAAAGUUGAUCCAAUGGCUGCAAUUCCUGUGAGUAAUGGCCCUGCAACUGCCAAACUCUUGUUUAUCUUCAAUGCUAUGUUUCCAAGUCUGUUAUAAUCUUCAGUGUCUUUUCUCUUUAUCACUUCAACAACUUCCCUCAUUUCCGUUUCUAAUUCUUCACUCCAUCCAUUAUUCAUUUUACCCAUUUUCUUGCUUUGUGUUUUUCCAUUUUUGGAAGGCCACCAAACAGCAGGCUCAAAUUUUGCAGGGAAUUUUUCAAGCAUUGCGCCUAAUAAGGGAAGUGGGUAAGCUUUGUCAAGUGCCAAAACUUUAUCCAUAGCACCCUUCACAUCUUCUUCACUAGGGUUUCCUAUUUUAAUUGUUGUUUGAAUUUGUGUCUGAAGUUGUUUGAACAGUCUUGUUGCAUUCCUUUGCUCUUCUGU